GGCAACAGCUCAAAUUUGAAAUCUGGCCCCUAGGGCCCGAGUUGUAAUUUGCAGAGGAUGCUUUUGGCGAGGUGCCUUCCGAGUUCCCUGGAACGGGACGCCAUAGAGGGUGAGAGCCCCGUCUGGUUGGAUGCCGAGCCUUUGUAAAGCUCCUUCGACGAGUCGAGUAGUUUGGGAAUGCUGCUCUAAAUGGGAGGUAUAUGUCUUCUAAAGCUAAAUACCGGCCAGAGACCGAUAGCGCACAAGUAGAGUGAUCGAAAGAUGAAAAGCACUUUGAAAAGAGGGUUAAAUAGUACGUGAAAUUGUUGAAAGGGAAGCGCUUAUGACCAGACUUGGACCCGGUGAAUCAUCCAGCGUUCUCGCUGGUGCACUUUGCCGGGCUCAGGCCAGCAUCAGUUUGCCUUGGGGGAUAAAGGCUUUGGGAACGUGGCUCCCUCGGGAGUGUUAUAGCCCAUUGCACAAUACCCUGGGGCGGACUGAGGUUCGCGCAUCUGCAAGGAUGCUGGCGUAAUGGUCAUCAGCGACCCGUCUUGAAACACGGACCAAGGAGUCGUCUUCGUAUGCGAGUGUUCGGGUGUAAAACCCCUACGCGUAAUGAAAGUGAACGCAGGUGAGAGCUUCGGCGCAUCAUCGACCGAUCCUGAUGUUCUCGGAUGGAUUUGAGUAAGAGCAUACGGGGCCGGACCCGAAAGAAGGUGAACUAUGCCUGUAUAGGGUGAAGCCAGAGGAAACUCUGGUGGAGGCUCGCAGCGGUU
rnacentral:rRNA from 1 species